rnacentral:tRNA from 1 species
CUCUCCUUAGCUCAGUUGGCAGAGCGGUAGACUGUAAUUGUAUAUAAGCCUUAUCUAUAGGUCCUCGGUUCAAAUCCG